GUAUUUUAUGUUGUACAAGCCCCACAGUACAACCUUAGCACUAGCUAACUUUUAAUGCCACUAUGUAAUUCGUGCAUUACUGCUAGCCAACAUGAAUAAUAUAUA
rnacentral:ncRNA from 16 species